rnacentral:rRNA from 1 species
AGCCUACGGGAGGCAGCGGUGAGGAAUAUUGGUCAAUGGGGGAAACCCUGACGCAGCAACGCCGCGUGCGGGACGAAGGCCCUCGGGCUGUAAACCGCUUUCAGCAGGGAAGACGUCGACGGUACCUGCAGAAGAAGCUCCGGCUAACUACGUGCCAGCAGCCGCGGUAAUACGUAGGGGGCGAGCGUUAUCCGGAUUCAUUGGGCGUAAAGCGCGCGUAGGCGGCCGCCUAAGCGGAACCUCUAACCCCGGGGCUCAACCUCGGGCCGGGUUCCGGACUGGGCGGCUCGAGUGCGGUAGAGGAG